rnacentral:rRNA from 1 species
CACGUAGGGUGCGAGCGUUUGUCCGGAAUUAUUGGGCGUAAAGAGCUCGUAGGCGGUUUGUUGCGUCUAUCGUGAAAACCUGCAGCUUAACUGUGGGCUUGCGGUGGAUACGGGCAGACUUGAGUUCGGUAGGGGAGACUGGAAUUCCUGGUGUAGCGGUGAAAUGCGCAGAUAUCAGGAGGAACACCGGUGGCGAAGGCGGGUCUCUGGGCCGAUACUGACGCUGAGGAGCGAAAGCGUGGGGAGCGAACAGG